rnacentral:rRNA from 1 species
GAUGAACGCUGGCGGCGUGCCUAAUACAUGCAAGUCGAGCGAAUGGAUUAAGAGCUUGCUCUUAUGAAGUUAGCGGCGGACGGGUGAGUAACACGUGGGUAACCUGCCCAUAAGACUGGGAUAACUCCGGGAAACCGGGGCUAAUACCGGAUAGCAUUUUGAACCGCAUGGUUCGAAAUUGAAAGGCGGCUUCGGCUGUCACUUAUGGAUGGACCCGCGUCGCAUUAGCUAGUUGGUGAGGUAACGGCUCACCAAGGCAACGAUGCGUAGCCGACCUGAGAGGGUGAACGGCCACUCUGGGACUGAGACACGGCCCAGACUCCUACGGGAGGCAGGAGUAGGGAAUCUUCCGCAAUGGACGAAAGUCUGACGGGGCAACGCCGCGUGGGUGAUGAAGGCUUUCGGGUCGUAAAACUCUGUUGUUAGGGAAGAACAAGUGCUAGUUGAAUAAGCUGGCACCUUGACGGUACCUAACCAGAAAGCCACGGCUAACUACGUGCCAGCAGCCGCCGUAA